UACAAUUCAGGAUUAGAAAACAAUAGAAAAGACUGGGCGGGAAAAGAGUAUAGAGAUAUUAAAAAUGAUUGACUAUAUUAACAUAUAUGGGUUAUGAAAGUAAAAAAUUAAAUAAAUGAAUAUUACCCUUUGGGUAAUUGCUUCUAACGCUUGGAAUUAAGUAGAAGGAUUGUGAAGAUUAAGAUAUUAUAUAAGUAAUUAAAAAACAAUACCAUUCUUCAUAAAAAGAGCUUCA